rnacentral:rRNA from 1 species
AUUGAACGCUGGCGGCAGGCCUAACACAUGCAAGUCGAACGAGUGGCGGACGGGUGAGUAAUGUCUGGGAAACUGCCUGAUGGAGGGGGAUAACUACUGGAAACGGUAGCUAAUACCGCAUACCAUCGGAUGUGCCCAGAUGGGAUUAGCUAGUAGGUGGGGUAAAGGCUCACCUAGGCGACGAUCCCUAGCUGGUCUGAGAGGAUGACCAGCAAAACUGGAACGGGGACACGGUCCAGACCCCUAGGGGAGGCAGCAUGGGGGAAUAUUGAACAAUGGGCGAAAGCCUGAUGCAGCCAUGCCGCGUGUAUGAGGAAGGCCUUGGGGUUGUAAGGUACUUUCAGCGGGGAGGCGUAACCCGCAGAAGAAGCACCGGCUAACUCCGUGCCAGCCGCCGCGGUAAUA